GACGAACGCUGGCGGCGUGCUUAACACAUGCAAGUCGAACGGAAAGGCCCUGCUUUUGUGGGGUGCUCGAGUGGCGAACGGGUGAGUAACACGUGAGUAACCUGCCCUUGACUUUGGGAUAACUUCAGGAAACUGGGGCUAAUACCGGAUAGGAGCUCCUGCUGCAUGGUGGGGGUUGGAAAGUUUCGGCGGUUGGGGAUGGACUCGCGGCUUAUCAGCUUGUUGGUGGGGUAGUGGCUUACCAAGGCUUUGACGGGUAGCCGGCCUGAGAGGGUGACCGGCAACAUGGGGACUGGGGUACGGCCCAGACUCCAAGGGGAGGCAGCAGGGGGGAAUAUUGCACAAGGGGGGGAAGCCUGAUGCAGCAACGCCGGGUGGGGGAGGACGGCCUUCGGGUUGUAAACCGCUUUCGCCUGUGACGAAGCGUGAGUGACGGUAAUGGGUAAAGAAGCACCGGCUAACUACGG
rnacentral:rRNA from 1 species